AGAUCAUGAUGCGGGCAGUUUCUUAGCAAGCCUUUGUAUCUCUCCCACGCCUUGUAUAAUGACUCUCCAACUUGUUGUUCAAAGUUGGCAAUAACUUUCUUUAGUUU